UGUCCCAGAUUUUAUGCACCUGUGAUGUAUCUGGCUGAAAUAUCUGAACUGUGGCGUGUCCAGAUACUUUUGGUCAUAGUGUAAAGUGAGCGUUCAGUGACUAGCCGGAAGAAGACCGCAAGACAGCACACUCCCCAGGGGAUAGGGACUCCGUUCACUCCCCAAUUACUCACACCUGGGCCCACAGGUUGCUGUGUUCACUCUUUUAGGUUGCCGCUCAAUGGGCGGGGCGAGGGACGAGAGAGGGCUGGGAACAGGAGGACGGGGUGAAGACUCAUUGGGAAGCGGAACACAAGUGUGGACGAUGACAUUUCCACUCUUUGGGGCCAGUUCAUUUAGAAAAUGGCCGUUUUGUUUAAGAGCUGUUUGGAAAAUAUUAAAGAACCUAAGGUGCCUAGAUUAGGCAGUAUGUUAAUGUUCUUCUUUACAAAACUGUUCAACCUCUUUUAAGAUCCUUGGGGAACGUCCAUGUAAUGCAAUCUUCAAGUCAUGUCACACAUUUUGGGAUUUAGGUUAGGGCUCUGACUGGGCCACUCAAUAACAUUUACCUUGUUUUUCAUUUGUGCUCCAAUAGCCAUGUGCUUCUGUUCAUUGUCAUGUUGAAAGGAGAACUUCAGUGAUGGAAGUAUGUGUUUUGUGAUGUGCCAUGUUGGAUUUCCCAGACCACUUUUUGCCACAUGGCUACAUAGCGAAUCUCAUUAUUGUUAUUUAUUUUUUGCAUGCUUCUGACAGGAUUUCAUGUGAGUUUUCUUGAGUAAUGCAUUAAUUAUUGUCAUCCUCCCAUUUUGAGUGUUUGUGAAAGCUGUCACAUCCACAACAGACCAGUCUUGGUCAACAGACAAGUCUUUUAUUAUUGCUAUGAAAAGUAGGUCAUCCAUUUAUGAUAUUUCAAUUUUGUGUUUUUAAUAUAGAAUUUACAAUAAUAAAUAUGUGUGUGUGUAAAACAACAAAAUGCUGAAGUUCAGUGGGGUGUAAAUAUUCUACAUGACCUGUAUACACCUCAAAGACUUCACAUUCCUUUCUUUUAGGCUACUAUUAUAAUGUUAAGCUCCAAUUGAUGUAUAAUGUUUGAACUUGCAGCGUCUUGUUACAU